rnacentral:rRNA from 1 species
AUACGGAGGGUGCAAGCGUUAAUCGGAAUUACUGGGCGUAAAGCGUACGUAGGCGGUUAUUUAAGUCAGAUGUGAAAGCCCCGGGCUUAACUUGGGAACUGCAUUUGAAACUGGGUAACUAGAGUUUAGUAGAGGGGAGUGGAAUUUCAGGUGUAGCGGUGAAAUGCGUAGAGAUCUGAAGGAACACCAGUGGCGAAGGCGACUCCCUGGACUUGAACUGACGCUGAGGUACGAAAGCGUGGGUAGCAAACGGGAUUAGAAACCCUAGUAGUCC